GACGAACCGUGCGAACGUUGUUCGGAAUCACUGGGCUUAAAGGGCGCGUAGGCGGCAUAGCAAGUCCGGGGUGAAAGCCCCCAGCUCAACUGGGGAAGUGCCUUGGAAACUGCAGUGCUGGAGGGAGGUAGGGGUCGAGGGAACUUCUGGUGGAGCGGUGAAAUGCGUUGAUAUCAGAAGGAACGCCGGUGGCGAAAGCGCUCGACUGGACCUUUUCUGACGCUGAGGCGCGAAAGCUAGGGGAGCAAACGGG
rnacentral:rRNA from 1 species